UAAUUUUGGUAUUAGAUUAAACUCAUCGAAACAUAUAUAUUGAGUGUCCAAAUUCAACUCCUAACAAAUACGUAUAAAUCAAUCACCUCAAGUAUUUGGGUUUUUAUUAGUAGUAAAAAUAAGGGUAUGCUAGUUAAUUUAAUAUAAAAUAUGGAAGAAAUUAAGUAAAAAAAAAUAUUGAAUGUCCUGACAUCUCAAAUUCCACUUUUAAAAUAGAAUUACAUUCUCAGCUUUUGUGAGGAAUCUCAAGACAUAUGAUAUUUUUAGGGAUUCAAUAUUUUUUUUAUAUAUGCUAAGAGCAAAAUCUCAAAUUGCUUUUUUUCAGAUAAUCUUGAAUGUCGUUGCACCAAAGGUAUCAUAGGGAAACUUUUCAAUUCCAUGAGUUUUUUUUUUAUAUAAAAAAACCAUCAAUGAUACUUGUCAUUUCCAGUACUUUUUAACUUUUUAUGGCCUUACCCAACUCCGAGAAGGAAGAAGCCUACAAUUUGUCAAAUAGGCCGCUGCAUGAAACAUCAACCUUCAAGUUUUCCGGUCUAUAUUCACUAGAUCACGGUUCAUGCAAUAAACAGAGACUGAGAGGCAGCAUAUUUGGAAGGCUACUGCUUUCCGUCUCUCUUUCUCUCGUGUUGUAUAUGGCUAUUUGUCUGAGGUUAUUUUCUCCAGCUCCUGCUGCUAAAAUUUCUCUACCAAACCAUAAACCUACUCCUUUAUUCUCCUCACAAAUCCAACAUCAUACCUUGGAGAAAAUCCCACCACCGAAUCCUAAGCAGCAAGUUUUGGAAGCUUUCUUGACUUGAAAUCUGAACCGAAACCAGAGUUCUUGGAUUUUGAUUUCUCAUGGUUUGAUCCUGCUGAUAGGUCUAGCUUUGAUGUGAUCGUUAUUGGCACUGGCCCGGUUGGUCCAUAUCUCGCCGAACAAGUGUCCCGAUAUGGAGUUAAGAUUGUUUGGACAAAACAUGGCCUAUGACUUGUCUCAAUAUUGAUGAUCACAAGACCAAGUAUUUAGACCAUCCUCGCGGCUGUGUUGGUAGGAAGGAAUUGAAG